UGAGGAAUAUUGGUCAAUGGGCGAGAGCCUGAACCAAGCCAAGUCGCGUGAGGGAAGACGGUCCUAUGGAUUGUAAACCUCUUUUGCCGGGGAGCAAAGAGCGGCACGUGUGCCGCGCCGAGAGUACCCGGAGAAAAAGCAUCGGCUAACUCCGUGCC
rnacentral:rRNA from 1 species